UCCCUGAUAGUCCAGUGGUUAGGGCUCUGCACUUUCACUGCUGAGAGUGCACGUUCAGUCCCUGGUCAAGGAA
rnacentral:tRNA from 1 species